CCUACGGGUUGCAGCAGUGGGGAAUAUUGCACAAUGGGCGCAAGCCUGAUGCAGCCAUGCCGCGUGUAUGAAGAAGGCCUUCGGGUUGUAAAGUACUUUCAGCGAGGAGGAAGGCAUUAAGGUUAAUAACCUUGGUGAUUGACGUUACUCGCAGAAGAAGCACCGGCUAACUCCGUGCCAGCAGCCGCGGUAAUACGGAGGGUGCAAGCGUUAAUCGGAAUUACUGGGCGUAAAGCGCACGCAGGCGGUUGAUUAAGUUAGAUGUGAAAUCCCCGGGCUUAACCUGGGAAUGGCAUCUAAGACUGGUCAGCUAGAGUCUUGUAGAGGGGGGUAGAAUUCCAUGUGUAGCGGUGAAAUGCGUAGAGAUGUGGAGGAAUACCGGUGGCGAAGGCGGCCCCCUGGACAAAGACUGACGCUCAGGUGCGAAAGCGUGGGGAGCAAACAGGAUUAGAUACCCUUGUAGUC
rnacentral:rRNA from 1 species